UACGGGGGGGGCAAGCGUUGUUCGGAAUUACUGGGCGUAAAGGGCUCGUAGGCGGCCAACUAAGUCGGACGUGAAAUCCCCAGGCUCAACCUGGGAACUGCGUCCGAUACUGGAUGGCUUGAAUCCGGGAGAGGGAUGCAGAAUUCCAGGUGUAGCGGUGAAAUGCGUAGAUAUCUGGAGGAACACCGGUGGCGAAGGCGGUUCUCUGGGCAUGAUCUGACGCUGAGGAGCGAAAGUGUGGGGAGCGAACAGG
rnacentral:rRNA from 1 species